ACCGCGACGGUCACACUGCGCUGCACAAAUUCAAUACCACACGAAUUUUAUUUCGUGAAUUUUAUUGAUUCUUUUUGGCGAAAUUGUCGGUAAAAGAGCUUUCUACACGUGUUCUAAGUGCCUGCACCUGUCCGCAGGCACCAUCCAGGCCAUAAAAGUGGGUGCGGCACCACUGGAAUCGGAAGCAUCACUUGGAUUGGACUACUUGCACCGCUUUGCUCCACCACCCCCUCUACAGUUUACCCCUUGAAUUGAGGAACCCAAAGACAAGGAAGUCUCGGAAAAUGGUGGACGCCGCCAGGCAAAUGCUCGAUGAGCUGAUGGGCAGGAAUCGGAACCUUCAUCCCUCGGAGGCGGGCGCCAAGGUCAACUGGGAGGAUCCAGAGUUCUGCCAAUUCUACAACGUAAAGUUUUGCCCACAUGAUCUGUUUAUAAAUACCCGCGCGGAUCUGGGACCCUGCGCCCGCAUCCACGACGAGGAGGCCCGUCACCUCUAUGAAGAUGCUCGUCCUUCGCAAAGGAAACGCCAAUAUGAAGAUGAGUUCCUCCGGUUUUGCAACGUCAUGCUGCACGAUGUCGAUCGAAAGAUUCAAAAGGGCAAGCAGCGCUUGCUCCUAAUGCAAAGGGAUCAGCCCAAUGCUCCGGCUCCUUUGAGCAGGCACCAGGAGCAACUGGCCAACCUUAAUGCCAGAAUCAAUAAGCUUCUCUCCGAAGCAGAAGAAGCGGGCAUUCGUGGAGACGUGGACCAGGCGCAGGAUCUGAUGACCCUGUGCGAGGAGCUCAAGGAGGAGAAGGAGCAACUGGUUCAGCAGCACGAGGCCAAUCACAAGGCUAUCAGCAGCAUUAGCUUGACCAGGCCACCGGAUGAUGAGCUGCAGCCGGCGCUUAGCAGUCCUGUCUCAAAUCCCAGCGAGGAAACCACAAACACACUUCCUGCGGCCGCCAUUACUAGUGAUGAAGCUCCAGAGGCUGCUCCAAGUUCGGCAGCAGCAGCAGGAGGUACUCCUGCGGAGGAGGGAGAAUCAACUGGAACAGCCAGUGAUGACAAAGCGGAGAAGACCGAAAGCAAGGCGGCUGGCUGGACGCACGAUGCUCUGCCCGAAAAACAGAUGAAGGUCUGCGAGAUCUGCGGGGCCUUCCUGAUCGUUGGGGAUGCACAGCAGCGGAUCGAGGACCAUUUGAUGGGCAAACAGCAUUUGGGGUACUCCAAGCUGCGUAACGCGGUGGCCGAGAUCAACGAUGCGCGGCAAAAGGAGCGCGAGCAAGAAGAUCGACGGCGGCGGGAGUGCCGAGUGCAGCGUUUCCACUCCUACGACAACAGGCGCGAGCCACGCAACGAAUACCGGGAACGGAGUCGCGACUAUGUCCAGAAUCGUCAGCCCUCGGAUCGGCGUCACCAUCACCAUAAGUCGCACCACAGCUCUCAUCACUCAUACUCGCGCAGUGGCGGCGGAGGAGGAGGCGGAGGUGGAGGAGGCGGCGGUGGUGGCAACCGAAGCAACCGGAGCCACCACAAUCACAACCAUAAUCACUACCGCCACGACAGUCGCGAGCGACAUUGCCGCAGUCGGAGUCGCAGCCGCUACUAGAGACCAAAAACAGAAAUAUACCAAGUGAAAAGCAAACACUACAAGUAAAUGACGCAUAGAAUCAUAAGCAGAAAGUCAGGAGCUGUUCCCAAAGCCCGAAAACGAAACUACACAACUAAAUAUGAUCAAGACCAACAGAACACAAUCUCUCGUCCAUCUGCAGUCUUCAGUCUUAUGUGUUCGCAAAUCCAUAAUCCGUAAGCUGCAGCUGCCGUGGCGAAAGACGGCAGCAUCGAGGUACCCCAAAAAAAAAACAAAAAUCAUUAACACAAUUUUCAAAGUAAUAUGUAUAAAAAACAGUAAAAAAGAAACAGUAUCUGAGCUGGCAAGAACGAGUGCGCUGAGGAGCCGCCAACUGAAGAACGUAACCCUAAAAUGUAGAAAUGAAUGAGAGAGAUAUAUAUAAAGAGAGGGAGAGAGAGAGAUAUAUAUAUGUAUAUAUAGAAAGAAGAACCAACCAGGUAACUUCUAUGCCACACCUCCCCACAUAAAUGUUUCUUCACGACAGACAAGGCGGCCGUAAUCCGUAAUCCGUAAUCCGUAAUCCAAAAUCAACGAUCAUCAAUCGGCGAUCAACGAACGAUCAGUGAUCAGAGAAAGAGAGAGAAGAGUGAAAGAGAAGGCAGAAAGAGACACUCGUGUAGAACUGUAUUAGGCAUGAUACAAACGAGGUGAAUUUCAAUUUCUCUCAUCUACUUAUAACUAUAUUAUAUUAUAACUCCACUAUCCAUUACUCCACCCAUCCUUCGAUCUUAAUAUCGUAAUCGAAGACGCGCGAGUUGUCAGUUAAAUAUUGAAUCAUUUGAACCGUACAUAAAUUAAUGUAUGGGCCGCUUAAGUUUAGUGUUCCCACAAAAUGAGCUCCUUAUCCCCUUUCCUGCAAGGACCUCAACACAAAAAAACCUUGAUCCCAUCCACUAAUCCAUCAACCCCGUUUUUUGUUACAACGAUCAACUAGCAAAUUAAUCAAUUGAAUUGAAUUCCCAUCGGGCAAGUAAGAGUUUAAAAAAAUUACGAAAUUAAGUAUAGUGUAACCAAUCAAUAAAAUUUGAUCAAUCGCCUGUAGUCAUGUAAAGAUGUUUUUAAUUAUGAAUUACGAUAUGAGUAAGGAUACAACAUUCUAUCGAGAGACUCGCAAUAAUUUUCUAAUAAAGAUCAAAGUAAAUCCACAAUAUAA